rnacentral:rRNA from 1 species
CCUACGGGGCGCAGCAGUGGGGAAUAUUGCACAAUGGGGGAAACCCUGAUGCAGCGACGCCGCGUGAGCGAAGAAGUAUUUCGGUAUGUAAAGCUCUAUCAGCAGGGAAGAAAAAAAUGACGGUACCUGAGUAAGAAGCACCGGCUAAAUACGUGCCAGCAGCCGCGGAAAUACGUAUGGUGCAAGCGUUAUCCGGAUUUACUGGGUGUAAAGGGAGCGUAGGCGGCGCGUUAAGUCUGAUGUGAAAGCACGGGGCCCAACCCCGGGACUGCUCUUGGAACUGCGUGGCUGGAG